rnacentral:rRNA from 1 species
AUUAACGCUGGCAGAGUGCAUAACACAUGCAAGUCGAGCGAGACUAGUAGCAAUAUUAGUCUAGCGGCAGACGAGUGAGUAACACGUAAACAAUCUACCCUUGAAUGGCGAAUAACCAACCGAAAGGCUGGCUAAUGCGCCGUACUCUCCCUUGAAGGCAUCUUCGAGGGAGGAGAGAUCCGCAAGGAUUGUUCUUGGAGGAGUUUGCGGCCCAUCAGCUAGUUGGCGGUGUAAUAGACCACCAAGGCUACGACGGGUACCCGGCCUGAAAGGGCGGACGGGCACGAUGGCACUGAGACAGGGGCCAUACUCCUACGGGAGGCAGCAGUGGGGAAUUUUGGACAAUGGGCGAAAGCCUGAUCCAGCAACUCUGCGUGAGGGACGAAGGUCUUCGGAUCGUAAACCUCUUUUAUGUGGGAAGAAUACCCGCAAGGGUUCGACGGUACCACGUGAAUAAGCCACGGCUAACUAUGU